GACAGAGGUGCCAAGCGUUAGGCGGAAUCACUGGGCUUAAAGCGUGUGUAGGCGGACUGUUAAGUACCUUGUGAAAUCCCACGGCUCAACCGUGGAACUGCUCGGUAUACUGGCGGUCUUGAGCUGCUUAGGGUCGUCGGAACAAGCGGUGGAGCGGUGAAAUGCGUAGAUAUCGAGAGGAACACCUGCGGCGAAGGCGGGUUGCUGGGCUGAUACUGACGCUGAGGCGCGAAAGCUAGGGGAGCGAACGGG
rnacentral:rRNA from 1 species